rnacentral:rRNA from 1 species
GACGAACGCUGGCGGCGUGCUUAACACAUGCAAGUCGAACGAUGAAGAAGAGAAACGCGAACUUCGGUUCAAAUUUCACUUCGGAUUAGUGGCAGACGGGUGAGUAACGCGUGAGCAACCUACCUCUUACAAAGGGAUAGCCUCGGGAAACCGUGAUUAAUACCAUAUGACACAUUCAUAAGGCAUCUUAAGAAUGUUAAAGCUACGGCGGUAAGAGAUGGGCUCGCGUCCCAUUAGCUAGUUGGUGAGGUAACGGCCCACCAAGGCGACGAUGGGUAACCGGCCUGAGAGGGUGAACGGUCACAUUGGAACUGAGACACGGUCCAAACUCCUACGGGAGGCAGCAGUGGGGAAUAUUGCACAAUGGAGGGAACUCUGAUGCAGCGACGCCGCGUGAGCGAUGAAGGAAUUCGUUUCGUAAAGCUCUGUUCUAUGGGAAGAAAAGGACUGUACCAUAGGAGAAAGCCCCGGCUAGAUACGUG